GGCGGGGCCUCGCAGGGCUGCCGCGGAGGAGCGGCUGGUCCCGGUGUGGCGGCGGCGGGAGCUGGAGUGGCGGCGGUGGUGUGAGAAAGUAAACUCUGCCAGCCUAGGCUGACAUCAGGACUGAACAGAAGUUGAGUUACAGCGAGUGGAAGGGCCCUUGAACACCGCCUAGCCUGAGCCUCACUGUGCAGAAGAGGAAACUGUGGUCGCAGAGGGCAAGGGCCUUGGUUAAGACCACUUGGCAAGAUGGAGACACAUCGCCUUGGAACUUGAGAGCCAUCCUUAGGACUGUUAACCACGAAAUGUCAAAUGAGUCAGUUCCACCACUCUCAGCCUGCAGAAUAGGGCCAUCUACUGCAGGCAAGUCUGAAGUUUCAGUCUGACUUAAGUCUAAAUGGGAACUUGUUCAGCUGCAACCAGUGCCCUGGUGGGUAUUCUGGUCACAGAGACACGGGCCUCCAUAUCUCUUGGGUCAGAAAAGCAAGGAAAUGUGGCAUUAUCAUUUUCUUGUCUGUUUGUGACAAAGACACAGAGUCAGGGUCUGAAUGUUUAAGGAGGCGUGAGCUCUCCAGGCCCCUCCCUUGACCAGAGUUACCUUUGACUUAAAUCCCUGGGGAGGGCUGGGAAAAUACAAGGGCGUGUGUGCACACGUGUGUGCAUGUGCGCGUACGUGCAUGUGCGUGUGUGUGCACCCGUGUGUGCGUGUUUGUGUAUGUGUGCAUGCACAUGUGCAUGCGUGUACAUGUGUGUGUUUGCAUGCAUGUGUGUGCUUGUGUACAUGCAUGCGUGUGCAUGUGUUUGCAUGCAUGUGUGAAUGUGGAAUACCACUUAGCAAUUUAAAACAAAGUGAACUAUUCAUAUGUAGGACCUCAUGGAUGAAUCCCAAAGUGAUUAUGCUGAGUGAAAGAAGGCAGCCAAAAAAAUUGCGUACUGUACUGUUCCAUUUAUAUAAAACUAGAAAAUGCAAGUAAAUUUCUGUAGUAACAGGAGAGAGAUCAGUGAUUACUUGGCGUGGAGAGAGGGAGAGCUGGGGGGAGGAGUUGUGGGGGGGAGGAGUUGCAGAGGGGCACGAGGGAACUUGUGGCGUGAGGGAUGUGUUCACUGUCUUGAUUGUGGUGACGGCCUCACGGGUACAUACGUGUGUCAGAGCUUAACAGAUAGUACAUUUUAAAUAUGUGCAGUUUAUCGUAUGUCAGGUUUACAUCGAUAAAGCUGUUUGUAAAAAAUAAUACUUUUAACAGUAAGAAAGUUGAGAGGGACCAUGAUAGGGCUUGAACUUUGGGAAUCAGACUUGGGUUCAGAUGCUUGUUUUACUUCUCUCAGCCUCAAUUUCCACAUCUGUAAAAAGGAAUUAUGCAGCCUUCUGUGAGACUGUCCUGUAGAGUAAAUGAAGUUUUAUGUGUGUGUGUGCGUGUGAAAUUCUCAUCUUAGUGCGUGACGAGUAGGAAGAGCUCAUUAAAUGGCAGCUGCCAUUAAAAAUAAUGGAGAUCUUGGUUGCUGCGAAAACCCUGGUGGUGUAGUGGUUAAGUGCUACGGCUGCUAACCAAAGGGUCGGCAGUUCAAAUCCGCCAGGCGCUCCUUGGAAACUCUGUGGGGCAGUUCCACUCUGUCCUAUAGGGUUGCCAUGAGUUGGAAUCGACUCGACGGCACUGGGUUUGGUUUUGGUUUGGUUGGGUGCUGCAGGUGGUUAACAUGCUUGGCUGCUAACCAAAAGGUUGGAGGUUUGAGUCCACACAGAGGUGCCUCUGAAGAAAGACCUGGUGAUCUCCUUCCAAAAAACCAGCCACUGAAACCUUCUGGGCACAGUUCUAGUUUGACACACACGGGGUCACCGUGAAUCGGAGUUGACUCGAUGGCAACUGGUUAAUAAUAUAUUACUAUCUUAAAAAUCUUUCAGCCGUGUCUUUUCCUUACAGUUGAACUGAGGUCUUGUUGGUGCUGGUUGUUGUCAAGUCAUUUCCGAUUCAUAGUGACCCCAUGUGACAGAGUAAAACUGUCCCAUGGGGUUUUCUUGGCUGUGAUCUUCACAGGAGCAGAUUGCCAGGUCUUCCUCCUGCAGAGCCGCUGGGGGCGCUCAAAAUGCAGACCUUUCAGGUAGCAGCUGUGAUUGUUGAGGUUGUGUGUCAACUUGGCUGGGCCAUGAUUCUCAGUGGUUUGGCAGUUGUGAUGUAAUUUGGCAAUCAUAUUUUUUUUAUAAUGAUAUGAUCACCUCCAUGAUGAGAUCUGAUAUAAUGCAGUCACCUCCAUGAUGGGAUCUGCUGUGAGUGGCCAGUCAGUUGAAAGGGAGUUUCCUUGGGGGUGUGGCCUGCAUCCAAUAUAUUUGAACUUGCUGGCAAAGCUCGCUGGCUUUUGCUCUGCUCUGGAUCCUACAUCUGGCUCGUCAGCAUCUGACCCCCAGUUCUUAGGACUGGGUCCAGCAGCCUGCCAUCUUAUCUGCCAAUCUUGGAUUCGUCAGCCUGUACAGCCAUUAGCCAGCAGCUGCUGUCUGACCUGUAGAUCUUGGGUUCAUUAGCCCCUGCAGCUACAUGAGUCAGGAGAGGCCUCCAGCCUGAAGCCUAAUGCCUGGCCCACGGACUUGGAACUUGCCAGCCUCUGCAACCUGUGAGCCAUUUCCUCGAAAUAAAUCUCUCUCUGUAUAUGUAUAAUAUGUGUAACGCUUCCCUGGUUUUUCUCCUCUAGAGAACCCAGCUUAAGACGGCAGUCGAUCACUUAACCAUGUGUGACCAGGUCUCCUUGAUGUCUUCUUAAGUUAUCAAUAAAAAGAGAGCUGAAGUUUUUAUAAAAUGUCGUAGUCACUGGCAUCUGUUAAUGUGCGUAUAAUACUUCUUGGCUGAAAAAUAAGUGAAAGUAUUUGGAUUGUCAGGUCCAGCAAUUCAUUCUCUCUUUCUUAGUUUACUAAGUACAUGGAUGGCGGCAGGACCUUCGCUGUGCCUCACGCCUGUGUCCCUGGGUACGACUCUGUGCCCUUAGUCUUCACCCUGUGUGCUAGUCUUGAUCUUAAGUUGGAAGGUCACCUCUUCCAUCAUUUGACAUUUUACGUUACUUCUCUCCUUUGCUACUCGAGGCUUUAUUGUUUUUGGUUGGGGGGCGGGAGUGUGGUUUCAUUGUCAUGUCAAGAAGCUGUCUCAUCACUGAAUAUGCCUGAAAAGGAAUGGUCUUGAAGCUUUAAAACAUGGGGUACUUCUGAUCUAAUUUUUUAAAUAGGCUUCAAAACUCUGCGAUUAUUAACCGUGAAAGCAUAUGAAAAACCAUUACAGUGUCGCUUGUUCUUUUCCUGCACUUGCCCGUGAACUCACUCAAAGGGAAUGAACUCAGAUCCCAGUCGCGGUGUGUGAGAGGGAAGCAGAAAAAUUCACCUUUAAUCCUUAUAGUUUUUCAUCAUUUUUACAGUGACGUUAUUGCUUUUAUAACAUGGAGUUGAAUAAAGAAGAGAAACUGUGUAUAGCAAUGGUGCGGGACCGGCAGAGGGCGGCAGGAUAGGAGAGAUGGGUGCGCGCCUGCCUGCCUCCUGAGGCUCCAAACGAGGAGCCAGCAAGCUGCAGGUCUCUCUGCACUUCCUGAUCGAGGUCACGUUUCCCUGGUGGUGUGUUGAGGUCUCUGGGGCUCAGGACACACGAGGUGAAGGCAGCAAUAACCAGGGAACAUCGUUUUCCUUUGUCAGGUUAUCAUUUCAGCACGUUUCAUGUGAAAGCCCGCACAGCCUUUCGUUUCCUGACCUUUUUUCUAUGAGUACUUACUACUUUCUCAGUUAAAAAAAAAAAAAAAUGAAUUAAGAAUAAAGAAAAGGUGCAGACAUGAAUAGUGGAUACAUCUAGAUUUCAGCCCAACAAACAUUUAGGUUGAUUUAAUGAAAAUUGAUUAACACGUACAAUAACUUUCGAAAGAAUAGAAUUGAGUGCAUAUGAGAAAUAUAGACUCAGAGAAACGUUGUACUGGCAAAAGUCUAAGAGGCUGUGUUGGGAAAAAUCCAAGAGUCCUCAACAUGAGACUCUGUUCUAGAACAUUCCAAAGAGGUGGUCAGUCUGUCCCCACUUGGAUGCCUCAGUGACAGAGAUCUUGAUGUGCCUUAAAAACAGCCCAGUCCGGGUUUCAGCCACUUAGAAUCAUGAGCAUAUUUAUUCUUCCAUGGGGCUAACCUUGGUUCCUGAGUUUUGUCUUCUGAACCUGCACAGAUAAGCUUACUUCCUGUUCUGUGUGUCAGCCCUUCAGAUAUUUGAAGCCCCGACAUAACCUCUCCCGAGUCCGACCAGCCCCUGCAGCUGCUCCCCUCGGAGGGAGAUGUGGGAAAGAGAACCUUGGUCUAUUGUAAUCCAGGUGCCAACCUUGAGGAGGAGGCUAGGUGAGAGGCAGGAUCUUCCCAGGGGACCCCACCUAGUCCUAAUAACUGGAUUCAGACAUGCACACUCAUACCUAUACUACAAAAAGGGAUGCAUGCCAAAUAUGGGGGUGCAGAUCACUGGACUUUUCCAGAAACCUCAAGCCAUUGGGUCACACGGAUUGAACAUAGAUCUGUUCAUUGGUCUUUUACCCUCUGCCCCCUACCCCCUGAAAGGGGUUGUAAUGUGGUUCAGGUCAAAAAUAUAGAAAAGAAAGAGAUGAACCUGACCAGGGGGUGGGAUUAGCACAUUCGGGGCCACAGCAGCAGCCACCCUUGUUUCUGGGAACUAUGCAGAUGUGUGGCGGUGUGGUGCGCCUCCUGUGCCGGGUAAGACAUCACAGGUACCGAACUGUCACCUAAUCUUUGACCUGGCAUUCCCAGCCAGGGGUUCUUUGACAACCUAAUUAGCAUUCUUGAUGUAAAUAGCUGGUCAAAGACCUAGCACUUAGCAAAGUACCUGGCACGGAAUUUGCACUCGGGAUAUUUGUCCAGUGGGACUGGGCCAAGGAUGGCGUCCUCUGAUUUUUUUAAUGUUGACAGUGUCUGUAAGCCCACCAUCAUGGACCACAUUUGUCCACCCACAAGGAUCACCUGCCCCGGCUCCUGAGCUGGCCGGGCAUGCUGGCCGCCCCUGUACCCACGAGGUUGGCCCUCAGUGAGCUCUUCCUCCCCCAUCUGCCGCCCUCCCCCUCAGGGUUGAGGAUCAGGCAGCACCACCAUCCUCAGUCCUGGGGCUGCUGCUCUUCUCGGAUCCCCAAAGCACUCUGCCGAGCCUGGAAGGGUUCUCACGUGUCCGGCUGUAAGCAGCCACUGACUCCUUACUCACCUGGGCUCCCGUUCCCUGCCAGCCUGUAUGCCCUGCCCUCUGCCUAGUUAUCAUUUCAGCACCUUUCAUGUGGAAGCCCACGCCACGCUUCUGUGUGCUGCCCUUUCUCCUGCAAGCACUUACUAAUUUCUCAGUUAAAAAAAAAUGAAUUAAGAAGAAAAGCUACAGACAUGGAUAGAAAAUGCAUCUAGACUUCAGCCUAACAAACUUUUAGAGUCACUUAAUGAAAAUGUGUUAAGUACCGGGUACAGUAGUUUUUAAAGAGUAGAGUCUCAGGGUGUCCCCCUGCCUUCCCUGGGCCACACACAGUGGGCCCCCUUUUACAUUCACCUGGUUUACAUGAACACAGCGGAAGGUGUAUUUUGGGGGGGCAUCUGUAGCGUUUUUCUAAACUUUUACUUAUGCUAAACUUUAACCUUGUUACUGCCUUUGUUUCCCUGUCCCUCUCGUGUGACCGUGUGUCAUGCCACUCCUCUCUCUGCACCAUCCUCUUUCCCUCUGUGAGCCCCUGUGCAUCUCUCGUUGGGAUGGUCUCAGGGUCUCCCCUCUUCAGCCACAGUCACCUUGGGCCCUUCCACAUGGCACUAGUCACUUUAUGCAAAGGCUGUGGUCAUGCCCUGUGGCCAGCUGCUGAUCAGGCAUCUGACAAAACCCCACAAUGAAGGAUGGAGGCGGGGAGGAGGGCAGCAAGGUGACCUGUGGUGCAGGAGGAAGGGCCCAAGACCCCGGCCAGGCCCCGCCUUGCCCAAGAAUCUGAGGCUGAAGUCUUAUUUCG